rnacentral:rRNA from 1 species
UACGGAGGGUGCAAACGUUGCUCGGAAUCAUUGGGCGUAAAGCGUGAGUAGGUGGCUCGCUAAGUCGAUUGUGAAAGCCCUGGGCUCAACCUGGGAAUUGCAGUCGAUACUGGAGAGCUCGAGUUCGGUAGAGGGUGACGGAAUUCCCGGUGUAGCGGUGAAAUGCGUAGAUAUCGGGAGGAACAUCGAUGGCGAAGGCAAUCACCUGGGCCUGAACUGACACUGAGACACGAAAGCGUGGGUAGCAAACAGG